GUAGCGAAAUUCCUUGUCGGGUAAAUUCCGACCUGCACGAAUGGCGUAACGACUUCCCCGCUGUCUCCAACAUCGACUCAGCGAAAUUGAAUUACCUGUCAAGAUGCAGGUUUCCCGCGGUUAGACGGAAAGACCCCGUGCACCUUUACUACAGCUUCGCAUUGGUAUUAGACACAACAUGUGCAGAAUAGGUGGUAGGCUUUGAAGCAGGAACGCUAGUUUCUGUGGAGCCUCCUUUGAGAUACCACCCUUGUUUUGUUUGAUAUCUAACCGCGGUCCGUUAUCCGGAUCCGGGACCCUGCGUGGUGGGUAGUUUGACUGGG
rnacentral:rRNA from 13 species